ensembl:lncRNA
CAUUAAACUUGAACAUUCAUUCACGACAAUGACGUGUGUGUGUGAGAGCAGUGGACUCUUCAGGGUAAGGGAGGUGUGUGUGUGUGAGUCAGUGGACUCUUCAGGGUGAGGGAGGUGUGUGUGUGUGUGUGUGUGUGUGUGUGUGUGUGUGUGUGUGUGUGUGUGAGAACAGUGGACUCUUCAGGGUAAAGGAGGUGUUGGUGUGUUGGUGUGUGAGUGUGUGUGUGUGUGUGAGUGUGUGUGUGAGAACAGUGGACUCUUCAGGGUAAGGGAGGUUAUGAGGUUGUAGUUGAUGGUUGUCGUUCUUCCUAUGCAGCUGUCUGAAAAUUGAAAUUAGGAGAGAGAUGGAGAGGUGGAGAGGUGGAGAGAUGGAGAGAUGGAGAGAUAGAGAGGUGGAGAGGUGGAGAGAUAGAGAGAUAGAGAGAUGGAGAGGUGGAGAGGAGGAGAGGUAUCUCUCUCUCUCUCUGUCAGUCUGUCUCUUUCUAAAUGGCAAAUUCAAAUUC